GGGGAUUUAGCUCAGUGGUAGAGCGCUUGCCUAGCAAGCGCUAGACCCUGGGUUUAGUCCCCA
rfam:Rattus norvegicus chromosome 10, whole genome shotgun sequence.